GAUCCUGGCUCAGAAUCAACGCUGGCGGCGUGCCUAACACAUGCAAGUCGCACGAGAAAGGGUAGCAAUACCUGAGUAAAGUGGCGCACGGGUGAGUAACACGUGAAUAAUCUACCUCCGAGUGGGGAAUAACUGAGAGAAAUCUUAGCUAAUACCGCAUAACACUUACGAGUCAAAGCAGCAAUGCGCUUGGAGAGGAGUUCGCGGCAGAUUAGUUAGUUGGCGGGGUAAUGGCCCACCAAGACGAUGAUCUGUAUCCGGCCUGAGAGGGCGCACGGACACACUGGAACUGAAACACGGUCCAGACUCCUACGGGAGGCAGCAG
rnacentral:rRNA from 2 species